UCCGUAGGCGGUGCGGCAAGUCGAUAGUGAAAUCCCUGGGCUUAACCCAGGGGGCUGCUAACGAAACUGCCGUGCUCGAGUGUGAGAGAGGCGAGUGGAAUUACGGGUGUAGCGGUGAAAUGCGUAGAUAUCCGUAGGAACAUCCGAGGCGAAAGCGGCUCGCUGGAUCACAACUGACGCUGAGGGACGAAAGCUAGGGGGAGCAAACAGGAUUAGAUACCCUGGUAGUCCUAGCCCUAAACCAUCAGGACUUGGGGUUUGCCCUGUACGGGGCAAGUCCCGUAGCUAACGCGUUAAGUCCUGCGCCUGGGGAGUACGGUCGCAAGGCUGAA
rnacentral:rRNA from 1 species